UGGACGCAUCCUAAAUGAUUUUAGAACCUCCCUUACGCCAUUCAUGGUCCAAGCUCUUGUUUGUACCCAAGAUUGGCUAAGGGUUUCGAUUACUCUCGACACUGAAGAUGAGGAGGAAUUGUUAAUCUUGGAAAAGGAACUUAUUGAAGAGUUUGGUAGUACAAAUUCAUCUAAGUCAAAGGCAAGCAGUAGCAAGUCUGUUUGCAAGCCAUCUUGUCCACCUCCAUCCUCUACUUAACGUUGAUUUGCACAUCACCUGGCUGGAACUUGGGAGUUGGAAACUUGGGAUGAUCAUGAUUCUCCGGACAUGUCAAGAUGCUC